AGGGAGCGUAGGCGGCUGAUUAAGUCAGCGGUGAAAGGUAGCAGCUUAACUGUUUUACAUGCCGUUGAUACUGGUUAGCUUGAGUUGACAGAAGGCAGAUAGAAUUCCUGGUGUAGCGGUGAAAAUGCUUAGAUACCAGGAGGAAUACCGAUUGCGAAGGCAGUCUGCUGCAGUCACACUGACGCUGAGGCUCGAAGGUGCGGGGAUCAAACAGGAUUAGAUACCCGAGU
rnacentral:rRNA from 1 species